CAAGUACACCCGUCUGCAGCCCGCAGAUCGGGGCGGGGCUGAAUACGAGGCGGAGCUGAAUAUGCAGCCCCGCCCAUAAAUGGGCGGAACUAAACACUCCGCCUACAAAUCUUUCAUUGGUUCACGGAAACAGACGUUGAUGUAAUGUAUGCUUUCGAUUUCGGUUUUCAUCUCUGCAUGAUGCCGCCUGAGAUCCUGCAGUGGAUCCUACUGAGAGUUGUCACACAGGAUGGUGAUGGGACAUUUCUGCAACUCUCACUGACAUCCAGGACCUUCUGAGCCAUUGUCAUUCAUUCAUUUUCUUGUCGGUUUUGUCCCUUUAUUAAUCCGGAGUCACAACAGCAUAAUGGACCGCCAACUUAUCCAGCAGGUUUUUACGCAGCGGAUGCCCUUCCAGCCGCAACCCAUCUCUGGGAAACAUCCACACACACAUUCACACACACACUAAUACACUACAGACAAUUUAGCCUACCCAAUUCACCUGUACCACAUGUCUUUGGACUGUGGGGGAAACCGGAAAACCUGGAGAAAACCCACGCGAAGGCAGGGAGAACAUGCAAACUCCACACAGAAACGCCAAUUGAGCCGAGGUUCGAAUCAGCGACCCAGCAACGUUCUUGCUGUGAGGUGACAGCACUACCUACUGCGCCACUGCCUCGCCGAGCCAUUGUCAGUAAUCCAAAAUUCAAGAAGCAGGCUGUGUGUGUGUGUGUGUGUGUGUGUGUCUGU
ensembl:processed_transcript